AGCAGCCGCGGUAAUUCCAGCUCCAAUAGCGUAUAUUAAAGUUGUUGCAGUUAAAAAGCUCGUAGUUGAACUUCGGGAUCAAGGAAUCGGUCAUGCCUUGGUAUGUACUGGUUUUAUUGGUUCUCACCUUCUAAAGAACCAUAAUGUCAUUCAUUUGAUGUUAUGGGGAAUUAGGACUGUUACCUUGAAAAAAUUAGAGUGUUUAAAGCAGGCUUACGCUUGAAUACAUUAGCAUGGAAUAAUGAAAUAGGACAUCCGAUUCUAUUUUGUUGGUUUCUAGGAUCGAUGUAAUGAUUAAUAGGGAUAGUUGGGGGCAUUAGUAUUCAAUUGUCAGAGGUGAAAUUCUUGGAUUUAUUGAAGACUAACUACUGCGAAAGCAUUUGCCAAGGAUGUUUUCAUUAAUCAAGAACGAAAGUUAGGGGAUCGAAGACGAUCAGAUACCGUCGUAGUCUUAACCAUAAACUAUGCCGACUAGGGAUCGGAUGAUGUUAAUUUUAUAAUGACUCAUUCGG
rnacentral:rRNA from 1 species